rnacentral:rRNA from 1 species
CCUACGGGUGGCAGCAGUGAGGAAUAUUGGUCAAUGGACGAGAGUCUGAACCAGCCAAGUAGCGUGAAGGAUGACUGCCCUAUGGGUUGUAAACUUCUUUUAUAUGGGAAUAAAAUGUUCCACGUGUGGGAUUUUGUAUGUACCAUAUGAAUAAGGAUCGGCUAACUCCGUGCCAGCAGCCGCGGUAAUACGGAGGAUCCGAGCGUUAUCCGGAUUUAUUGGGUUUAGAGGGAGCGUAGGUGGAUUGUUAAGUCAGUUGUGAAAGUUUGCGGCUCAACCGUAAAAUUGCAGUUGAAACUGGCAGUCUUGAGUACAGUAGAGGUGGGCGGAAUUCGUGGUGUAGCGGUGAAAUGCUUAGAUAUCACGAAGAACUCCGAUUGCGAAGGCAGUUCACUGGACUGCAACUGACACUGAGGCUCGAAAGUGUGGGUAUCAAACAGGAUUAGAUACCCGAGUAGUC